CAUCGGUAUUGUGAGAAAUAUCGAUGGUUAAGCUAUCGGUAUAUUUUUUCCGAUGGCUUUUCGGUAAAUGUUAUAUUUUGAAAGAAAAAUUAAUUUUUUUCCUGAUGCGUUAAAGCCAUCGGUAUAAAAUAAAUACCGAUGGCUUUUGGCUAUCGGAAUUUACCAAUGGCUUAAAGCCAUGUAUUUAUAAAUAAAUAAAUAAAUAAAUAAAUAAAUAAAAAACGAAAUCUUGGUUUAAAGUUAACCCUAGCUCAUGCCUUACUCUUUCUCACUCUUCCACUCAUGCCUCUCUUCCCAUUUUCUCUCUCCUCCAUCUCUCUCCAAUCACGCCUUUUCUCUCUCCUCCGUUUCUCUCCUCUAACGCCAUCUCUCUUACUCCCUCUCUGGUAUUCUCCUUCCUCUCCAUCCAUUUUUUCUCUCUCCCCUCGAUUUCUUUAUCUCUCCUUUUGAUUGUUGCGGUAUUGUGGCGUUGUCCAUUGCGGUGUUGCGGCGGUGUUGUAGUGGUGUUCGGUUUUUUUGGUCAAAUUCGACCAUAAAUUUGGAGUUUUAUGGUCGAAUUUGACCAUUUAAACCUUAAGUAUGUGACAAAUUGAAGAUAUCAUGGACGGAGCAGAUAGGACACCCGAACCUGUUGACCCUUUUGUCUUGACACUACAGGACAAACAUUGGAGCGUUGACAUAUGGGACCAGACGGUUGAUGAAGCGAAGAUGCUGGUUUGCAGGCACUACACUACUAGGGUUAUGGGUGACUGGGUUGUCGAUGCACGCAUUCUUGCGUACGUCGAGUACGCUGGCUUUGGUGGUAUUCAUCGUAUAGCGUUCAGAGAGAUCGAUCGAGCGCUUGUCACUGCGCUAGUGGAGAGAUGGAGACAGGAGACGCACUCCUUCCACCUACUUGUUGAGGAGGCAACCGUUACGUUGCGGGACGUCGCAAUACUCACCCGCCUUCCUAUACAUGGGACUGCGGUGACAGGACAUGCGUUAGUCGAUCCCGUUGGUUUGGUAGCCCGGGUUCUCGGGAUUCAACCGGGUCCCGAUGAGAUUAGGGGCUCCAGGUUGAGGACCGGCUGGAUACGCGAUACUUUCCAUGCGCUGCCUACGGACGCUGAUGAUGCCACGGUUUAGAGACACGCUCGAGCAUACUUGUUAUUGCUCAUAUCGGGCGUGUUGUUCGGCAACAAGAGCGGGAGCCAUAUCCAGCUUAUUUACCUACAACUGUUAGACCACGACUGGGAUCAUAUCUGUGGAUACAACUGGAGUAGUGCCUGUUUGGCGACGUUGUAUCGCCACCUGUGUAGAGCCUCCCACCGUGGUUCAAUCGAGAUCGGAGGACCUCUGAUUGUGCUUCAGUUAUGGGCUUGGGAGCACAUCCAUGUAGGCAGACCAGGUAGGCCUGUUGUACAUCGUCGGGGACAGUAGGACCGGGACGAGCAGUACCAGGCGUACAUCACUCCACCGCUCCCUACAUCUGAUGAGGCGUACGGUUGUAGGUGGGUGGUCCACAGACUCACACAUGCACAUGCGGCGAGGGGUCUUCCGUACUACCGAGUCGCCCUUGACCGACUCACCGAGGAUCAGAUGACAUGGGAUCCAUAUGUACCUGACUUGGUAGAUGUCAUGCCUGCACAUCUGCUGGAUCAUCAGGCAGAAUGGCGUGCCAAGGUCCCCAUAAUCUGUUUCGAGGUUAUGGAGAGUCACCUACCCGACCGAGUCAUCUUACAGUUUGGACUGCGCCAGUCUAUCCCCCAGCAGUCUGACACUAGUGUACGCCUUCACGGCAUUGACCAUUGGGGAAAGAGGGAGAAAAACUGGGCACUGGAGCAUUGGCGUUUCCUUGAGCUAUGGCAGCGACGGUGGAGUUCGUCGUUGGAGAUGAUCCGAUGCAGGGCGUUAUGGAUCCUCAUGAUCUGUACAUGGUGUGGUACAGGUGUAUUACACGACGCUUCAUCAACCUUAGCUACACACCACCAUCCACACAUUACCAUCCAGCAUAUGACAUCAUCAGUGGAUAUGCGGCGGAUAUGGUGGCGAUGGUUGAUGUAGUAUCAGUUGCCGUUGCAGACCGACCCACCAGAGCCCAGGUGGAGCGGGUGCGAGAUAUGGGCGUGGCUACCUUACAAAGAUAUGGUCACGGCUAUCUCGUCCACCAGCGGGACGGUCAUGAUGGCCACUCCGUCCAUUCACAGUUUGAUCUCGGCCAGAGUAGCAGCGGAGGUGAUCCUACGUCACCCAGAGACGCAGAGGAUUACAUCAUCCACAAUACUACGCCCACCGGUACCCAGGAGGACCCAUUGUCUAGCCAGCAGACUCCCCCACCGCCCUGAGACCCAUUCACCACCAUUACUCAUUACAAGCGGCGUAAUGUCAGAUGAAGGGCCGAUAGACAGGAUAUAGAACCGUUACCCCGAAUAAAUGAGUCGGGAUAGUAUUAUCUGAUUUAUUUGUUGUAGCUGGAUUUUCUAGAAUGUUGUAUAUAACACUUACAUUAUUAAUAUAAUAAAUGUUUUUUGAAUGAAUAUGUGUGUGGUUUGA